UGAACUUCUGAUCCUUUUGGCUAAGAUCAAGUGUAGUAUCUGUUCUUAUCAGUUUAAUGGUUAUAUUUUUAAAUAGACUUAUUUUGGAGAGCUCAU
rnacentral:snRNA from 1 species